CGGUAGUAUAUAAAGGCUGCCCCCCUUCUCGCGCCCCACUGAUGCAUCAUUUCCGGGUCAGGUGUCUGUCUGCGCAGAGUGGCGACAGAGUGCUCCGUGCACCGUGCUCCGUUUGCUCUUUGGUCCUCUCAACCGGUGGUAGAUGUCUUCCUGCCGUGUGGGUCUUUCUCUCCCUCCCUCUCCCUGUGCAGGUUUGACCUGGGAAACAGGGAAUGCUCAUCAGCUGGCCGAAAUCCACAGGUGGUGAUUGAUGUGACAGCACUCAGUUGAUUGGGGCCACUGCUGCUUUGCCUGCUUUGACUGCAACUUUCCUAUCCCAAGUGGCGUUGUCGGUAGGAUAGGAAACCAUAACGCCACACUUGGCGUUGCUGGCAGGAUUCACUCUCCUAACGGCAAGGACGUGUGUUCCCGGGGUGUUUUUAGUUUUUUUGUUUGUUGGUGCACUAAUGUCUGUCUUGUAGGCAUUUGGGAGAGUUUAAGGGGACAAAGCAGCAGUGGUUUCCAGUGGAUCCUCAUGCCAGUCUGGUGAGGUCUGGUAGAGCAGGUCCGACGUGGGUGACAGUUUUUGGGUUUUGA